UGGUGGGGUGACUUGUCUGCUUAAUUGCGAUAACGAACGAAACCUUAACCUGCUAAAUAGCCCGCAUUGCUCCGGCAGUGCGCUGGCUUCUUAGAGGGACUUUCGGCUCAAGCCGAAGGAAGUUUGAGGCAAUAACA
rnacentral:rRNA from 1 species